UACGAAGGGUGCAAACGUUGCUCGGAAUUAUUGGGCGUAAAGCGCACGUAGGCGGCUUAGCAAGUCGGAUGUGAAAUCCCUCGGCUCAACCAAGGAAGUGCAUCCGAAACUGCUGAGCUUGAGUACGAAAGAGGAUCGCGGAAUUCCCGGUGUAGAGGUGAAAUUCGUAGAUAUCGUAAGGAAGACCAGUGGCGAAGGCGGGUCUCUGGACAGUUCCUGACGCUGAGGCACGAAGGCCAGGGGAGCAAACGGG
rnacentral:rRNA from 1 species